rnacentral:rRNA from 6 species
GUGACCCCAGGAUGGGCGAGGCCA